rnacentral:rRNA from 1 species
CCUACGGGAGGCAGCAGUGGGGAAUAUUGCACAAUGGGGGGAACCCUGAUGCAGCGACGCCGCGUGAGUGAAGAAGUGUUUCGGUACGUAAAGCUCUAUCAGCAGGGAAGAAAAUGACGGUACCUGACGAAGAAGCCCCGGCGAACUACGUGCCAGCAGCCGCGGUAAUACGUAGGGGGCAAGCGUUAUCCGGAUUUACUGGGUGUAAAGGGGGCGGAGACGGCAAUGCAGGCCUGGAGUGAAAGCCCGGGGCCCAACCCCGGGACUGCUUUUGAAACUGGGUGGCUGGAGUGCAGGAGGGGUAAGCGGAAUUCCUAGUGUAGCGGUGAAAUGCGUAGAUAUUAGGAGGAACACCAGUGGCGAAGGCGGCUUACUGGACUGUAACUGACGUUGAGGCUCGAAGGCGUGGGGAGCAAACAGGAUUAGAUACCCUAGUAGUC